GGGUACUCCUUCUAGAUCUUGUACAUAUUUUCUUAGAUGAUUCUAGGGCUCAGAUUUGGUCUCCAAGUUGCCCAAAUCUGAAGAGAGCAUGGUCAAACCUCGAACCCAUCCAGCGACCCGAUCUAGUUUGCACCUUGAUCCAUGCUCAGUCCAUCUCUGAUUCGAGGAGCCGUGACACCACUUUGGCCAAAGACUUUCAGAAUCACCAUC
rnacentral:lncRNA from 1 species